ACUGUGCUAAGCUGGAUUAAAUAUGACGGACUUCUGCAAAGCAUCUUAUGGACGGGGAGCUUAACUUAACCUCUUGGCUCAAAAGUAGUACAGGAUGAAAACAUUAAAGAUGUUUUACUUGUGGACUACUGCAAUUCUGGCAUUGCUGGAGAUAAGAACAGUCGCAGCCCAACCAGCUCAGAACAUUACACAAUGCGGAAACCUACUUUGCUUCCCAUAAUGCAAAAUGCAGAGAUGACGGCCACGGGGGACAGAGGUGCCAGUGUCACAUAGGGAUAUACUGGAACGACUUGCCAUGAUGAUUUUGAUGAAUGUAGUCUCGGAAAUCCAUGCAUGCAACGUGGACAUUGUCACAACAGUAUUGGAAGCUAUAGAUGUGAAUGUUUGGAAGGUUGGUCUGGUGAUAUUCAUUGUGAAAACAAGGACCCUUCUACAACUGUUCAUAAAUGCAUGCCGGGAAUGGAUAGGUGAUUUGUGUCAGGAUCAAUGUCUUAACGAGUAAAU
rnacentral:lncRNA from 1 species